rnacentral:rRNA from 1 species
AUGAUUGAACAAAUGCAGUCCAGUUACAGUGAGGAAUCUGAAUUUGAUAAUGAUCAACAGUCAAUUUCCUCUGUCCACACUAUCAAGUUGUCUGCAACAGCUAUGGGCAAGGAACCAGAGGCACCAGUACUGCAACUAGAAGUUGUACUACAAUGCCAAGCACUGCAAUUCCUAGUAGAUUCUGGGAGUACACAUUCUUUCCUGGACGCCAAGUAUUCUUAUAUUCAGGGUGUUUCUCCUAUCAAACCUAUUACAGUUACUAUUGCAGGUGGAACAACAAUUCAGUGUCUGCAUCAGAUAACUGACCGUAACUGGCAAUGCAAUGGUCAUGGGUUUUCCUCUGAUUUCAGAUUAUUGCAAUUGCAAACCUAUGAUGGAAUACUGGGAUUGGAUUGGCUUGCACAGCAUAGUCCAAUGUAUGUUGAUUGGGUAGAAAAGUGGAUGUCAUUUACUAAGGAGGGCCAAACUAUUACUUUGCAAGGAAUUUCUUCUGAAGAACAUAGUUAUACUUGUGUAGCUCUUUCUACUAUCCAGAUGGGUGAACCAGAUCAAAUACCUCCAGAGAUGCAAUUGCUUGUUGAGGCAUUUGCUGAUGUUUUUGCUACUCCAACUGAGCUUCCUCCCAAAAGGCCUUGUGAUCAUAAAAUUCCUCUUAUUCCAAGGGCAAGGCCUAUAUCCAUGAGACCUUAUAGAAUUGUGCCACAACUCAAGGAUGAACUAGACAAACAAAUUAAAGAAAUGCUCAGGGCUGGGAUAAUCAGGCCUAGCAACAGUCCAUUUUCCUCUCCAAUACUACUAGUUAAGAAAAAAGGUGGAGAGUGGAGGUUGGUGAUUGAUUACAGAAUGUUAAAUGCCAUCACUCUCAAGGGCAAGUUUCCCUUGCCAGUUAUUAAUGAAUUGCUGGAUGAGUUGUCAGGAGCUGUUUGGUUUACUAAACUGGAUUUAAGAGCAGGUUAUCAUCAAAUCCGACUAGCCCCAGGAGAGGAAUAUAAAACUGCUUUCCAAACCCAUGAUGGUCAUUAUGAAUUCACUGUAUUGGCCAUGGGGCUUGCUGGAGGACCUGGCACUUUCCAGGGGGCUAUGAAUACUACACUCACUUCUACUAACAGGAAGACCACUCUCUGUUUCUUUGAUGAUAUAAUGGUUUUCAGCAAAACAUAUGCAGAGCACCUGAAACAUGUCAGAGGUGUGCUCUGUCUUUUGAGAGCUGAUCAGUGGAAGGUUAAACUCACUAAAUGUGCUUUUGCCCAA